GGGCACAUGGUGUAGUUGGUUAUCACGUUCGCUUUGCAUUGAUAUGAGACAGUUCAAUGGUGCGAAAGGUGUUGGGUUCAAUUCCCAAUGUGUCCA